CUGGCUGUCCUGGAACUCACUCUGUAGACCAGGCUGGCCUUGAACUUAGAAAUCCGCCUGCCUCUGCCUCCCAAGUGCUGGGAUUAAAGGCAUGCGAGUGUACACCGAGUCACUGCUUCAAAUGUGUUCAGGAAAGUCACUGGUCCUGGCCUUCUCUAACCCCUGAAGGCUCUUCUGGCCAUGUCCAAAGUGUGUGCUAUCUCUAGAGCUGGCCCUAUUACUACUGCCAUGUAGUGACUUGGGUGAGGGAGAGAUGCUUGUGGUAGGCAGAAAAGCUGGCCUGGAGGUCAUGAGAGUGGGAGAGCUGGCCCUGCCCCUCACCUACUGCAGCACUUGGGAGAGCAGGCCCUGCUCCUUUCCUGGGCAGCAUGGCAGAGCUUUUCCCUGGUCAUGUGGUAUUGGAUGGACUGGCUAGAGGUCAGGAGAGCAGGAGAGCUGGCCCUACCCCUCGCUGGCGGCAGCAUUGGGUGGGUUAGGUGGGGCAGUGCUGGAGAACACGUGCUUACUCACGGUGUGGGUGUGGGAGAGCUGGAGGGCUGACCAACUCAGCUCCCACUCAGACUCAGAUCCAGGGCUAUGAGUUGGCCCACCCCAUCAACUAUGCCAUGAACUGCUGGGCCAGUCCUGCAGAUCCAAAGCUGCAGGAUCUCCAUGACACAGGGCAACAACAGAGCAUCUGAGAGGAAUCCCAGUGAGGAUACAGUAUUGAUAGUGUAGCAGAAGCCUUGGAACCAGACCAAUGACUCACUGUAGUGAACAUUUGCAAGUAAAUAUGUGUGGGCAAAAGGGAAUACUGUGGGACACACUAUAGCAUACACACACACACAAACACACACACACACACACAUAUAUAUGUGUGUAUACACACACACACACAUAUGAGGCUGCAAGGGCAGAGGACAGAUACAAAGGGAUGGGGGAGAUAAGAGGGAUUAGGAUGCAUGAUGUGAAAUUCACAAAGAAUUAAUAAAAAGUUAAAAAAAAUAGGAACAUUGGCUGUUGACUCCUGUCUGCUUCCCUUCCCCACAGAGCGGGGACAUCAGACCCAGGUCACCCUCCAGCAGACUUCUGAGGCAAUGAAUGAACGAAGGGGAUUGGACUGCUUUGGCCUGGGCUCUGUCAUCUCUGACAGGGAGCCCUGAGUAGUCAUUACAAUAUCCGGAUGGCCCAUCUCCUUUCUCCUGGACACCAGGACCACUAACUUGAUCUUGUCAAAGUUUUGGGGACCUACCUCUCCUCAUUUUCCUAUUGUCAGGGUAUGGGCACAACCUUACCUGGUGCUCAAGAGCCUGAGAACCAGAUGGCCUGAGCCUUCCUGCAGACCCAGGGACCCACGAGACAGCUCUGGCUGACCCCAAGACCUCAGACUGUGCUCCCCCACCCCUGGAGCAGUGUCCCGCGGCUUCCUCAUAGCCCGAUACUUGCCAGGCACCUGCAUGAGGUAAGAGCAGUCAAAACUUUUUGAUGAGAGACAGUCCAUGUUUAUCCAUACUGUUUACUGACUGUUCAUUGUGGGAAAUGGGUGUGUACUCACUUCUCGGGGUGGACCAGACAUGAAGUACCUCUGCAAGAGGGGGGGGGGUGUCUUCAAAGGGAAGCUUAUUGGCUAAAUCCUCGGGGCCUCUAGUGUGGAGAUCUCUGUUCUGGGCUAUGUGACCAAUGUCGGGAGUGUGGCAUGUGUUCCUGACCUGGAAUCUUAGUAGGGAGCAGGGAGACACCGAGUUCUGGGUUCUCUGAUCUGCUCUACCUUAUCAAGUUUCCUAACAUGGUCCACUGCCCCACAAAAGUCGUAUAUUCUACCUAUGUGCACGAAGUAUAUAUACAUCUUUAUGAGAAGCCACUGCCUUCACAGCCCACCUUCAGUUUCCCCUUUGGCCCUCUCUCAGAGGCAACCUCUGCAUAAUCCUCCACCUGCCCUAUACUCUUGCAUGAGGCCUGUUGCAUGCUGUGAUUUUGUCCCUCUGCUUCAAUUCAUCAAGGUAUCCUUCCUUCUG
rnacentral:lncRNA from 1 species